GACGAACCGUGCGAACGUUAUUCGGAAUCACUGGGCUUAAAGCGCGUGUAGGCGGGAGGGCACGUCCGUCGCUGAAAUCCCCCGGCUCAACCGGGGAACGGGCACGGAUACGACCUUCCUGGAGGGGCGUAGGGGGACCUGGAACUUCCGGUGGAGCGGUGAAAUGCGUUGAGAUCGGAAGGAACGCCCGUGGCGAAAGCGAGGUCCUGGACGCCUACUGACGCUGAGACGCGGAAGCCAGGGGAGCGAACGGG
rnacentral:rRNA from 1 species